rnacentral:rRNA from 1 species
AAUAGGAAUUAAGGGCGUAUGGUGGAUGCCUUGACUCAAAGAGGCGAUGAAGGACGCGGCAUGGCUGCGAUAAGCUUCGGGGAGACGCCGAGCAGUCUUUGAUCCGAAGAUUUCCGAAUGGGGACAAACCCGUUCCGCUAAAAGCGGAAUAUCUCCCGACUAACGUCGGGAGAAGCGAACCCUGGGAAGUGAAACAUCUCAGUACCAGGUGGAAAAGAGAACAACGCCGAUGUUACAGUCGGCGUCCCGACCUUGCGUCGGGAUGUUAUUCCCUUAGUAGCGGCGAGCGAAAAGGGAAAAGCCCAAACCUAGCGCAUCUCACUAAGGUGAGAUGCUAAGAAUUAAAAAUUAAAAAAUCAAAAUGUAAAAUUAUUGUAUUCGCUUUGCUCAUGAUUUAAAUUGUCGCGAAGCGACACAUAAAUUUUUCAUUUUUCAUUUUUAUUUUUGAUUUUAAGCGCCGAGCUUUAGUGAGGUGCGUUGGGGGUUGUAAGAGACAGCGAUGGUUUACCAAGAAAGUAAAAUGAUUUUGUUAGCUGAACCGGCUGGAAAGCCGGACCAAAGAGGGUAAUGGUCCCGUAAGCGAAAACAAAAUCAUGCUUUCAGCUGUCAUCUUGAGUAAUUCGGGACACGAAUGGCCCGGGUGAAUCAUCCGGAACUAACCGGAAAGGCUAAAUACUCUUUGAGAUCGAUAGUGAACAAGUACCGCGAGGGAAAGGUGAAAAGCAGCCCGGUGAGGGCGAUGAAAUAGAACCUGAAACCAUAUGUCUACAAGGAAUCGGAGCGUUCGUUUCGCUUUGCGAAUCGAACUUAAUCUCAAAACUCAAAUGUCAAAUCUCAAAACUAUGGAAUCCGCCACGGCGGAUGAUUUAUAAAAAUCACGAGCGAGGCGAGUACUAAAGUUUUGACUUUUGCGUUUUGAAUUUUGAGUUUAAGCGCGAAGCGAAGCGAGCGCGACGGUGUGCCUAUUGAAGAAUGAGCCAACGAGUUAAUUUGCGCUGCUUGCUUAAGUCGUAAAUCGAUGGAGGCGCAGCGAAAGCGAGUCUUAAAAGGCGUCGUAGCGCAAAUUAGACCCGAAACCAAGUGAUCUUACCAUGGACAGGAUGAAUCUCGCGGAAACGCGGGAGGAGGUCCGCACCGGUUAGCCGUGCAAAACUAUCGGACGAUCUGUGGUAUGGAGUGAAAAGCUCAUCGAACUUGGUAAUAGCUGGUUCUCUCCGAAAUAGCUUUAGGGCUAGCGUCCGUUUUACCUUCUGGGGGUAGAGCACUGGAUGGUCUGCAUAGGGAGAAAUCUCGGCAGACCAAUCAAACUCCGAAUACCGGAAGGCAUCAGACGGGCAGUCAGACCGUGGGGGCUAAGCUUCACUGGUCAAAAGGGGAACAGCCCGAAUCUCAAUCUAAGGUCCCUAAAUCUCUGCUAAGUGUACUUAAGGAAGUGGAAUUUCGAUGACAGCGAGGAGGUUGGCUUAGAAGCAGCCAUCCUUCAAAGAGUGCGUAACAGCUCACUCGCUAAGAGAUUCCGCGCCGCAAAUAAUCGGGACUAAAGCAGAGUACCGAAGGUGAGGGCUUGUGCGUAGCACAAGCAAGUUCAUAAAGUAUAAAGUUCAUAAAGUUCAUAAAGUUUAUAAGGAAACGUAAUUUCUUUUAAAACUUUAUAAACUUUAAACUUUAUAACUUUAUUGACUUGCUCGCGCUGCGCGUGAGCGGUAGGAGAGUAUUCAUAUCUGCUGUGAAGUUCACGGGGUGACCCGGAAUGGAGCGUUAUGAAGUAAGAAUGUUGGCACAAGUAACCACAAUUCCGAUGAAAUAUCGGAACGCCGCAAACCUCAGGUUUCCUUGGCAAUGUUAAUCAACCAAGGGUUAGUCGGGCCUAAGCCGAUGGCGAAAGCCGCAGGCGAUGGACAAACGGUUAAUAUUCCGUUACCUCCUUAUUUUUUCGAUGGAGUGACGGAGGUUAGUAUGUUGAGCGCAUUAUUGGAUUUGCGUUAUUGGCGCAAGGAAUUUCGGCAGGUAAAUCCGCCGAGUUUCCGCAAGGAAGAUUCCAAGCGCAGAUAAAACGCUUCGCUUUCGGGCGGAGUAAUUCAACAAAGCAGCCUCCCAAGAAAAGCUUCUAGAGUUAAAGAUAAGGAGUCCGUACCGAAAACCGACACAGGUAGGUGAGUCGAGUAGACUAAGGCGAACGGGUGAGUGUUUCCCAAGGAACUAGGCAAAAAAGCGACCGUAACUUCGGGAUAAGGUCUCCCUAGCGCAUCUCACUAAGGUGAGAUGCUAAGAAUUAAAAAUUAAAAAAUCAAAAUGUAAAAUUAUUGUAUUCGCUUUGCUCAUGAUUUAAAUUGUCGUGAAGCGACACAUAAAUUUUUCAUUUUUCAUUUUUCAUUUUUAUUUUUUAUUUUAAGCACCGAACUUUUGUGAGGUGCGUUGGGGCGCAGCGAAAGUUCCUCUGGCGACUGUUUACCAAAAACACAGCUCCCUGCUAACUCGUAAGAGGAUGUAUAGGGGGUGACGCUUGACCAAUGCGAGAAGGUCAAAAUGCGCUGGUCUCAUCAGUAAUGGUGAGGCUGCCGUGCAUUAAGCCCUCGUGAAUGUCGGCCGUAACUAUAACGGUCCUAAGGUAGCGAAAUUCCUUGUCAGGUAAGUUCUGACGCGCACGAAUAGCGUAACGACUGGAGGACUGUCUCGGGAAACAGCCCGGUGAAAAUACAAUACCGGUGAAGAUGCCGGUUACCUGCAGCUAGACGAAAAGACCCCGGAAGCUUUACUACAACUUGGUAUUGGCUUUAGGUUUUUAAUGCGUAGCAUAGGCGGGAGGCUUUGAAGUGUUCCUUUUGGGGGACAUGGAGCCGCCAGUGAAAUACCGCUCUUUAAAAAUCUAAAAUCUAACCUCAGCGGCAAAAACGCUGGGAGACAGUGCCUGGCGGGUAGUUUGAUUGGGGCGAUUCCCUCCUAAAAAGUAACGGAGGGGUCUACAAAGGUCGGCUAGGCGCGGAUGGAAACCGUGCCGAUAGUGUAAUGGCAAAAGCCGGCUUAACUGCAAGACGGACAGGUCGAGCAGAUGCGAAAGCAGAGCAUAGUGAACCGACCAUGCGCAUUAGACGCGGUGGAGGAUUAACGGAUAAAAGCUACUCCGGGGAUAACAGGCUGGUAGUGCCCAAGAGUUCAUAUCGACGGCACUGUUCGGCACCUUAACAUAUCGGGGUGCGGCGCGAGAAAUCGCGCAGCCGGGUCAAAGCAUAUUAGGAGAAUGUGUUUUGAUUGAAAUAUUGGCUUAUAACGGUGAACUCCAUGCUAUUAUAUAUACAUGGACAAUACCGUGGGAAGUCUAAUUCAAUAUCAGAAAUCUAUUGUUGUGUUGAUAAAAUGUAUAAUUGAAUUAUGACCCUGUAGAGACUUGUCAUUAUUAAUAUGACGGAGUUUUCAUUUUUUAAAGUGGAAGCUAAGACGCCAACCCCUGUCUUUGGAUUUUGACAGGGUGAAGAUAUAGUCCGAUCCUGCCGGUAACGGCAGAAAAACAAACAGCGAUGUCGGCUCAACCUAUCCUGGGGCUGGAGAAGGUCCCAAGGGUUUGGCUGUUCGCCAAUUAAAAGGUUACGUGAGCUGGGUUCAAACCGUCAAUUUGGCGGCUCCCGAUAGUAAUAUCGGGAUGCAAAAUCGACUCAUAUCGGUGGAUUCCUAAUAAUACAAUUGUGUUUCAACCUGUCGUAUGUUAGGAUAAUACCGAGGGAAGUUGUGUAUGCAAAACAAAAUUUCGUCAACAACAAUGGCGUAUCUUGCUGGAUUUUUGGAUGGCGAUGGAAGUAUCUACGUGAGGCUUAAACCGAAUUCUACUUAUAAGUAUGGAUUUCAGGUUGCUCCUUAUGUAGUUUUCUUUCAAUCAUCAAAAAGCAAAGAAAAUUUUGAGAAAGCGUGUUCUUUAAUGAACUUUGGUUAUACCAGGGAGCGAAAAGAUGGAAUUAUGGAAUUCAUAAUUGGUAAAAACGAAGAUAUAAAGAAAUUUCUCAAAAUUGUUAAGCCCUAUUCCAUAAUGAAAAAACAGCAAAUACUUCUUAUGAUUGAAAUACUUGAUUUUAAAGAAAAAAUUAAAAGCAAGGAAGAAUUUGAAGUGUUGAUAAAAUUAAUAAAUCGUUUUCAGGAAUUAAAUUAUUCUAAAAAACGAAAAUUGCGUGCAUUAACCCCGUAGAGACUUGUCAGUUUAACUGGCAGAGUCGUUGCAGUGAAAGUCUGCGACGGCUAACACGUCGAUUAUCCCUUUUUAAGGGAUAGUGGUAUAGUCCAUACAUUUAGUAAUAAAUGAAGAUAAUAUGCGUGAGACAGGUUGGUCUCCUAUCUGCUGCAGGCGUUUGAUUCUUGAGGAGCUCUGCUCUUUGUACGAGAGGAUCAGAGUGGACCGACCUCUGGUGUGCCGGCUGUCCUGCCAAGGGCAACGCCGGGUAGCUAUGUCGGGAAGGGAUAAUCGCUGAAAGCAUCUAAGCGAGAAACCCGCUCCAAGAUUAGGAAUCUUAGACAGGUUGUAGAUGACGACCUCGAUAGGCUCUAGGUGUACGCGCGGUAACGCGCUUAGCCGAGGAGUACUAAUUGUCUUUUC